rnacentral:rRNA from 1 species
GUAGUCUCGCACAGAUGCAUAUCAAUAAGCGGAGGAAAAGAAACUAACAAGGAUUCCCUUAGUAACGGCGAGUGAAGCGGGAAGAGCUCAAAUUUGAAAUCUUCAAGGUUUUACCUUGACGAAUUGUAGUUUGAAGAAGUGUUUUCUGUUGAAGUUUUGGUAAAAGUUCUUUGGAAUAGGACAUCAUAGAGGGUGAGAAUCCCGUAUUUGACCAUUAUUUUCAGCUGUGUGAUACACUUUCAAAGAGUCGGAUUGUUUGGGAAUGCAGUCCAAAAUGGGUGGUAAAUUUCAUCUAAAGCUAAAUAUUGGCGAGAGACCGAUAGCGAACAAGUACCGUGAGGGAAAGAUGAAAAGAACUUUGAAAAGAGAGUUAAACAGUACGUGAAAUUGUCAAAAGGGAAGCGUUUGACACCAGUGUUGUUUUCUCGAAAAUCAAUUAAAAAGAGUUUGAUUUUGUUGUGUAUUGACCUUAACAGCUUGCAUUUCAAUUUUCUUGCUUUUUUUAAUGCACUUUUCGUUUAACAAGUCAACAUCAGUUUCUUUUGUUGUAAAAAGGUCAUUGGAAGGUGGCUUUCUUUUCGGAGAAAGUGUUUAUAGCCUUUGACUCCUGCAAUCGGAGAGACUGAGGUCUGCAGCGUAGAUCCUUCGGGGUUAGAUACAUUUGUGCUAAGUUAUAGCUUUUUAUAGACAACUUGUUGACUAUGAUUAGUCUUGUAGCUUACUCGCUUAUGCUAUUUUACCUACGCUUAGGAUGUUGAGCGCAUGUCUCUCUCU